UAGAGAGAUCACUGCAGAGCUUCCCCCUUGCCAAGGCUGCCGUUGCUCUUGGGACCAGCUGAAUACAACGGGCACCCCACCCCAGCGCUGGUGAUCAGACCCUUUGAACAUGGCAGUGCUGGCUCUGUCUUGUUCUGAAGGCUUUUGAGCCUUACCCGCCUGCUGCACAAACCGCUGUAGCUCCUGAUGUGCAAUAGUGCUCAGAGCCUGCCAGGCACUCAGACCCGGCCGCUGAUAGACAAGGAACAGUUAUGCUAAUCAACCCAGGAGUGGGGCAGCUUCCUGGUGAAUGCCUUCACUGACAGCGCUGGGAGGCGGCCUGGAGAGAAGCAUAUCACCAACCAGCCUCCUGGGUGUGCCUGGCCCGGUGAGGGUGGCAAGGAGGGAGGAAGGAGGGGCAGGGAGGCUGUGAAGUUACUGAGGGGAAAGAAAGCUGGGAUCUAAAGCUCCUGCAGGAGAAAGUGUGCCAGGCUGGAGGCCCUGGGAAAGCGUCCCUUUCGCUGGUGAGACUAGUAACUGAGGAGGGGGUGUUGGGGAGGUGAAUUCUGUGGGUGGAGUGACCCAUAAUUGGCUAGCCAGACUGAGGUUCAGGGGGCCAUCUCAUCUCCUUCCCCACUCCUGCCUUUAGCUGACAAUAGGACAGAAGAAUAAUUAAAAGGAGGGGUGGGGACCCUUUGCAUUUGGGCACCUGUGGCAAGACAGUGCCAGAGGCCAAUCAACAAAAUCCAAGUUAAUCCUCCUGGUUCCAGAGUCCUCUACAGAGCCUGUGGGAUAAAGUUGAGCUGGAGGCCUCUGAGCAGAUCUUCAGCUGAUUCUUCCUCAUCACCAGCAACAGAAGAGCCCUGGAAUUCUGGCCAAGCUGGUGGACGACGGAGCUGAGCAAGGCAGUACCCCAGCCAUCAUGAGCCUGGGAGAACCAGAGGGGAAGAGAAAGGGCUAAGUCUGAGAGGAAGCAAGAACCCUUGGAUUCUUGGAGAUACCUGGUCGAGGCAGAUUAUGAGUUCACUGUCAUCUCCAAGCCAAAGGGAGCCAACCUUGGAAGCUCCCUGCUCUGACCUUUUGCUGGCUGAAGGCCGAAUGCUAAGACUGACCUCAAGAUGAGGCAGCAGUCUGUAUGCUGAUCUCUGCUCCAGUGUCAAUGCACAGGCCUCUCCAGGAAUGAGAGUCUACAUUUACAACUUGAUGACACCUGACGCCUAGAGAGCAAAGCUCAAGGUUAUCAUGUGGCAUCAUGGACAAGCUGCAAUGCCAGCUCUGGUUUGUAUGACCCAAGGAAGCUUCACUCCCCAGACUCUCUUACCUUCUGGCUUCUGGAUGAGUCCAGUCAGUUAAAGGCACUGGAAGAAGGUGGGUAGAGAGAGAAGCCUAGAUCUUUGUCUCCAUGGGGCUGUAUUGUUCUCCCUGGUUGACUACAGUGGCUCCAUGUUCUUCCUGGUCAUCUCUGUGUUGAGCUCUACUUACAACAUUCCCCAGUUCCAGCCCCAGGAAGGAAACAGUUUUCUAUGUGGCUAAUAUGGGCUCCCUACCUCUCUGUCCUGGGGAAAAGGGAAAUAUUGGAGUCACCAGGUACAGAUUUUCGGUUUGCAGUAUGAACAUGAUUUUGGAGACGGAUGGUGAUGUCUGCACAACCUCGGGCAUUGAGUCUUGUGGAGCUGUGCACUCUGUGGUGAACUGCAGUGGAGAAUAAAAGAAAGAAAGAGGGCCAGCAAGAUCCCUUAGCAG
rnacentral:lncRNA from 1 species